ensembl:lncRNA
AUGAGCUCAGGUCCUGUGAUUCCUUCUUUUGUUUUCAGAGUUCUUAGAGAUUCGUUCAUUCCUUCAAAUAUUUACCUAGUUCCCAUGUGUCCAUGCCAGAUACUGAGGACAUAAAGGCUAAUAUACCAUCGUAUCUGCCAGUAAGGGUCUUGUCAUCUGGUGGUAGCUCAGGGUAAGAGUUCCUUCCCCAGAGAAAGAAGUCAGGCAGCCAGUCCCAGCUCUGUGUUAAGCACCUUCCACUCAUUUGGCUCCUUGACUUGUUCAGCAUGUAUCCAAUCUUGUGUCCACUCAACCACCAGUUUUUUUCUGCUGUUACCCGCUGGUGGCUGAGCCCUAUGUAAAAAUAUCACAUAACAGUAGAGGAUGAUAGAUUGGACAUUUAGACUGAGGAGCCACUGUAGAUGUGAAAUCCUAGAGUGAGCUGUGAGACAGACCUAGAACUGGUUCAGUGACUGACUUUCAACCAAGGUGUGAAGAUCAGAUCAACCAAAAUGGGGAGAGCUUCCAUGGAGCUCGCAGGAGUCCAAGAGCCACGCCAAACUGAGCAAACUGUGUGGAGGAGCCCUGACUUCAACCCUAAGACUGGAGCAUGAAUCCCACAAGUUCAGCUUGGCCUCACCAAUUUGCAGCUGGACUGAAUACCUAGGAACAAUUAUUUGGGGGUGGUUUGUCAUGCAGCAUUAUUGCAGCAAUAGCUGACUGAUACAAGCUCACACUUAAAAAGCGGAGCAAGAAGAGUCAAAGGGUGGAGAAGAGAUGGCCUUCUCUUCCUUCCCUGACCAGAAGGUCAUAUUUCUGCCACCCUUCUGGUUGCAAAGGGACGAAAUUCAUCUACCACAGUAAUGAUUAUCUUAAUGCUUUGAAGUCCUUUCUUUCUGGUUUGCGUUCUUUGCCUUCAUCUUCCUUCUCUCCUUUUCUUCCUUCCUUCCUUCAUUCUUUACCUCUCUAUGUUCUUUCACUGUUGAACCCUUACAUUUUGUUGGAUACUAGGAAUAUAAAACAAAUAAAAUCCAUCUUCUGGUUUAAUUGGGGGAGACUGUAAACAAAUAAUUGAUCUGCGUGGAAGAGUUUCCAUAAUAAAGUUGUAUACAGAAGGUAGUUUUAUAUAGAAAAAAAGGGAGAAGUCAGCGGUGGGUAUUGCUGCUGACAGUCACUGGACACCUGUGCCAGGCCCUGUGCUAGGAGCAGAGUUGAACAAGGACACAGUCCCUGCCCUUGCUCCCUUCCUUCCAGCUGUUUGGAGUCUAGUUACUUCACUUCUGUGAUUGCACUACACUGUCUCUACUCUGGGUUCUUCACACAUGUACUCCCUCUUCUGAAAAUCUUCUCUUCCUCUUCACCUAUGUGCAAACUUUGAGUCCUUUAUAAGGGACACCUUUUCUACAUGCAGGAGUAGGUUGGACUCCCCUUCUAGAUGCAUUCAUAGCACUUGAUAUGUCUCUUACUGUAACAUAUGUCAUACUUGAAUUACUAGUUAAACAUCUGUUUUCCCUGCUAGUCAACUAGUCCAAACCAAAUCUGUCUGGUUUACUGCCUUAUCUCCAGCAAGUAGUUUAGUGUAGGACAGUGAAUAUUAAGGGAAUCGAGUGAAACUGAAUUGCGAAAGGUCUUUUAUGUAUGUGAGAUGGUAGGCAUGGAGGCAGGAAGGGGUUUUGUAGAAAGUACAUAAAUGAUCAGUUCACUUCCUCGGCCCUCAAACAAAUACCCAAGUUGCUACACAAACACCCAAAUCGCUACCCAAGUUGAUCCUUGAAGUUGAUAAAAAAGAAAAAAAGAGAAAACCAAUUUGUGUCUCCAAGGAGCUGAGUAGCACUUUGCAUUGCCGAGAACUUGCCAAGAGCUAGAAAAUUCCACUCAUGAGCAGCUGGCUUUGCUCAUGGCCUAUGACGCAGGCAGUGUUUGGUGAUAACAUUUCCUGGAAUUGAUGCAUAUCUGCUGUGUGUGUGGCUCGGGGACCUUGUCUUAUUCAUAGGAAUACAAACCCCCUGGCAGUGUAGCACGGCCUCUGAAUCCCACUUAUCCCAGAAGGUGAGGAUAUGGGAGGCUGCAUGGGAGGCCCCGUGCUCCACGUGUGCCUUGCCCGGGGUCUGUGGGUGCAAGAGUGCAGCACAAGGCCCUUCCUGCUCCAACACUGUCCUUUGUCUUAUUGUUGAGAGGUUGCUGCUUGUGCUCUGUUCUCGAUAUGGUGAAAUCAUUCAGUUCCUUCUCUUCUUUGUUUACUGCAAACAAUAAAAAUAUGAAACUUUUUACCUACUAGAA